CAGAGCCGACGGGUUUCGAUCCCGCUACCUUCGCUGUGACAGAGCGAUGUUCUACCGAUUGAACUACGGCUCU
rnacentral:tRNA from 1 species